UCCGUAGGUGGAUAAUUAAGUCAGGGGUGAAAGUCUGCAGCUCAACUGUAGAAUUGCCCUUGAUACUGGUUGUCUUGAGUCAUUAUGAAGUAGUUAGAAUAUGUAGUGUAGCGGUGAAAUGCACAGAUAUUACAUAGAAUACCAAUUGCGAAGGCAGAUUACUAAUAAUGUACUGACACUGAUGGACGAAAGCGUGGGGAGCGAACAGGAUUAGAUACCCUGGUAGUCC
rnacentral:rRNA from 1 species